UCUCCCCCUCUCCUCCUUCUUUCUCCCUCUCCAUUUCUCUCUCUCUACUUAAGAUUGUUGUGCCCUAAUUGUACCACCAAAAAUCUCAACUUGCUCUAGAUCCUUGUGGCCAUGGUGAAUCUUCACUGGAACCCAGGUAAGAAGUACCCAAUCUCCUCCCUUAACCUUCUCUCUUCUUGAUUGAUCCACCACGAGCCAACAUCUCAUAAAGAUCACCAGAAAAUAGCCU
rnacentral:lncRNA from 1 species